AACGCAUAUUGCGCCCUCUAGUAUUCUGGAGGGCAUGCCUGUCCGAGCGUUAUUACAAUCCUCAAGCCAUGGCUUGGUUGUUGAGCCAAUUGUCCUCUGAUGGACAGGCUUAAAAAGCAGUGGCGAUGCCGCGUCUCGGUUCGAGUGUAUGGGGCUUUGUCACACACUCUGGUGACCCAGGCGGCAUUCUGUCAAACCUAAAAACCUAAGAUUUAACCUCGGAUCAGGUAAGAAUACCCGCUGAACUUAA
rnacentral:misc_RNA from 1 species